rnacentral:rRNA from 1 species
GACGAACGCUGGCGGCGUGCUUAACACAUGCAAGUCGAACGGAAAGGCCCUGCUUUUGUGGGGUGCUCGAGUGGCGAACGGGUGAGUAACACGUGAGUAACCUGCCCUUGACUUUGGGAUAACUUCAGGAAACUGGGGCUAAUACCGGAUAGGAGCUCCUGCUGCAUUGUGGGGGUUGGAAAGUUUCGGCGGUUGGGGAUGGACUCGCGGCUUAUCAGCUUGUUGGUGGGGUAGUGGCUUACCAAGGCUUUGACGGGUAGCCGGCCUGAGAGGGUGACCGGCCACAAUGGGACUGAGAGACGGCCCAGACUCCUACGGGAGGCAGCAGUGGGGAAUAUUGCACAAUGGGCGGAAGCCUGAUGCAGCAACGCCGCGUGCGGGAUGACGGCCUUCGGGUUGUAAACAGCUGUCGCCUGUGACGAAGCGUGAGUGACGGUAAUGGGUAAAGAAGCACCGGCUAACUACGUG